GAGUUUGAUCCUGGCUCAGAUUGAACGCUGGCGGCAUGCUUUACACAUGCAAGUCGAACGGCAGCACGGGCUUCGGCCUGGUGGCGAGUGGCGAACGGGUGAGUAAUACAUCGGAACGUACCCAGAAGUGGGGGAUAACGCAGCGAAAGUUGCGCUAAUACCGCAUACGUUCUACGGAAGAAAGUGGGGGAUCUUCGGACCUCAUGCUUUUGGAGCGGCCGAUGUCUGAUUAGCUAGUUGGUAGGGUAAAGGCCUACCAAGGCGACGAUCAGUAGCUGGUCUGAGAGGACGACCAGCCACACUGGAACUGAGACACGGUCCAGACUCCUACGGGAGGCAGCAGUGGGGAAUUUUGGACAAUGGGCGCAAGCCUGAUCCAGCAAUGCCGCGUGAGUGAAGAAGGCCUUCGGGUUGUAAAGCUCUUUUGUCAGGGAAGAAACGGUUCCGGCUAAUAUCUGGAGCUAAUGACGGUACCUGAAGAAUAAGCACCGGCUAACUACGUGCCAGCAGCCGCGGUAAUACGUAGGGUGCAAGCGUUAAUCGGAAUUACUGGGCGUAAAGCGUGCGCAGGCGGUUUUGUAAGUCUGUCGUGAAAGCCCCGGGCUCAACCUGGGAAUUGCGAUGGAGACUGCAAGGCUUGAAUCUGGCAGAGGGGGGUAGAAUUCCACGUGUAGCAGUGAAAUGCGUAGAGAUGUGGA
rnacentral:rRNA from 1 species